rnacentral:rRNA from 1 species
GACGAACGCUGGCGGCGUGCCUAAUACAUGCAAGUCGAGCGAAGUUUUCCUGGUGCUUGCACCGGAAAAACUUAGCGGCGAACGGGUGAGUAACACGUAAAGAACCUGCCUCAUAGACUGGGACAACUAUUGGAAACGAUAGCUAAUACCGGAUAACAGCAUUAACUGCAUGGUUGAUGUUUAAAAGUUGGUUUUGCUAACACUAUGAGAUGGCUUUGCGGUGCAUUAGCUAGUUGGUGGGGUAAAGGCCUACCAAGGCGACGAUGCAUAGCCGACCUGAGAGGGUGAUCGGCCACACUGGGACUGAGACACGGCCCAGACUCCUACGGGAGGCAGCAGUAGGGAAUCUUCCGCAAUGGGCGAAAGCCUGACGGAGCAACGCCGCGUGAGUGAAGAAGGAUUUCGGUUCGUAAAGCUCUGUUGUUAGGGAAGAAUGAUUGUGUAGUAACUAUACACAGUAGAGACGGUACCUAACCAGAAAGCCACGGCUAACUACGUG